UUUUUCUUAUGUCUAAGGACUCAUGAGUUGAAGGGCAUUCUGAUAAAUGACAAUAAUGUUCAUAAAUGUAACUACUGAUAGAUUGUAUAUUCAUUUGGUUGAUUAGUCUUUGAGUAAUUAAAAGAUAUUGAUAGUGGUAUAAUAAUAUACCAGGCGAGGAGUGUACUGCCCUCUGGCGUUUAGUUAUAGUUUCUAGUCGGACUCAUUUCAGUGACGGACCUGUUAGAGCAAUAGCGCAGAAAUCAGUCACGAGUUUGCUUCAUUACACAGCUUGGUCAAAUAUGUGUCUUCUUACAGACUUAAAUGGAGAAAAGAUUAAGAAAUAAAACUGAGGAAGAAAAAAAAAGAACAAAAGAUAAAACGUCAAUCCUCAAAAUGA